CCCUUGAGGAGGGGACUGGAAACCUGAUUUCCACUUAGAAGUCCCAGACCUGAAGGACUAGAAGGUGUGGGCUGGGGAGGCAGAGUGCCGCCCACCGCCCUUGGAAGCCUUGAAUGCGGGAGGAGGAGUGGCGCCCCAGACACCCAGGGCCGGGGCCUUCCUCUGAGCCUCUCGGCAGCUGCUCCUCGGAAGGCCUGGCUGUGCGGCCCCCUCUCCAUGCUCCCAGCCCAGGCUGCUGUGAAGAGAGGCCCCAAAGGAAGCACCUCAGGAAACAGUGGCGGGGAGGGGUCUGGGCCUUGCCUGGGCCUCAUCCAGCUGGGCUCUGAGAAUGAAGGGGGCUCCCCGUGUGAGGGGAAAGAUCUGGAAGUGGGUGGGUUCCCAGGGAAGGCUCUCUCUGGGCUCUGAGCGAGCCCUGGCUGUGUCCCCACAGACAGCGGAGACCUGAGGUGACUCCCCAGGGUCCUGGGUGGCUGUGAUGCAGUGGGGACAACAGGAGUCAGAGGGCACAGGAAUGCCCACCUCCCCCCGCCAGUCUCUUUGUUCCCAAAUGCCUCCCUUUCUUUGCUCCAGAGCCUUGAAAAGGGUCAUGCCAGGGUCUCCCCCUCUUUGGCCCCACCAAGAGAAGGAAACAUUUGUGCUGAUGGUGACAUUUCCCAGGGCAGGCCAGAGGAAGGCAGGAACCAGGACUGGCCGGCAGCCAGAUCCCCUCUUCGACAGAGAUAUAAAUACUAAUAAUGACCUCUAGCCCAGGCAGCAAGCAAAGUGGCCAUUCAGGACGGCACUAACCCAGUAUGGCACAUAAACGCUACUGUGGUGGGCAGAGGAGAGUGGCACAUGUGCCAGCCAGAUUUCAGCUUCUCCCUGGUAUUUCCUGAAGCAGCGCGCUGAACUCGCUUUCCACCUGGAUGCCUGGGCUUGGGCGAAGGCAUGUAUCUGCCCACAUGUGGGUGUUGGUGCAGAGCUGGCCUACAGCAGCCCGUGGCUUCUUUGCUGGAGAGGCCCUGAGAAGACUCUUUGGAGUCCCCUGGACAGGACCUGGCUCUGAGCAGGCAGAAUUUUGGUGAUCUCUGUGAGAGACUCAGGGAUAUGAGGCUUUCAUGACCUUUCGCUGUGAGACUGGUUUGACGUGCUUGAGAACCUGAAAUGCAUUCUGGGGUUUGACCCACUGCCCUUAUGAAAGCCUGUGGUUCUUUUGAACCAAGCCUCCUUUGAAUGACCCGGAUUCCCCGGGUCUCUUGUGCUGGCGGCAGGGCAGUGGGGUAGGUCAUCUGACUUGGACCCCACCCAGGCCGGACUGGCGGCACCACUCCCGGGCAGAGGCCACAGUCUGAGCCCACUGGCCCCCUAAACUCCAUGCGGGAUGGACCUGGGGGUGGGAGAGUUCUGCUGGCCCAGUGGGUGGAGCUCUGAGAGGGUCUUCGCUCCUACCUCCACCUGAGUAGACUCUCAGGCUGAGAACACAGUCUGCUCAGACUCCCUCCCAGCCGGGUGCUGACACACUGGACCAAUUAGGAAAGAGACACCUGAAGGAGGAGCCCCCUGGUGCAUGUCCCACGGUGGACUGGUGCAAAAGCCUGUCUUCAAGUAGAUCUUGGCACCCCCACCCCCACCAUGUGCGAUUUUAAAGCCCAGUUUUGAGAACAUUCCCUUUUGAGAGCCAAGAAAUGGAGCAUCUCUGCCCAGAAGCCAAGAGAAAUUGCUUUCUUCUUCUAGUUUCCUGAUGCCCCACUGUGUUCUGUCAGGGGGAGGCUGGUUCUGGGGGCUGUGGGGAGGGCUGCCUCCGCCGCAUACGAGCCUUAGAGUUCCGGGCGGGCUGGGGUGGAGAGGGUGAAGAGGCCACUCAGAAGGAGGUGCCUACCCAAGUGCCGUGUGUGGAAGCUCAUGCCUGUGCUGACUCUGGGAAGGGUACGGAAGCCGUCUGGUUGCCUCAGAGUUGGAGAAGUCUGGGAAGGGGCUAAUUUAGUCUUCACUGCUCUGUCCCAGCUGGUGAAUAGACCCUGGGUGCCUUGCAGCCUCAGGAAUUUACUGCCCCCCAGAUGGCUUUGGCUCUAUUUGGAAAGGGUACCCUUGGAAAUGUUCCAGUGAUUUCCUAUUGCUGUGUCUCUGGACGUGUAGACAGGAUGCAACCUUGAGGUCACCUUCUCCCAGGUGUGGGCGUGAGACAGGGAAGCCUUUCAGUGGUACACCCCAUCAUUCCAAAGUGCUUUCUUAUCUCUUGUACUCUCUUACUGCCUGCCCCCCGCCCCCCAGCUCUUUCUGAAACUCUUAGUCAUAAAAGAACGGCUGAGAGAGAGCUGGCCUUGGGGAGCUCUAAUGAGAUGUGUGCUAAUGAGGGGCUUCCUUUUAUGCUCCCUGGGACUCCCUCCCCACUGGACCUAGGGUUCCAGCACCACAUUGCCUCCUGCUGAGUGGACAAUUUAGGGCUUUUGCCUCGAGCUGCUUGAGUACUUCAGACAGUGUCCAGGACUGAAGCUGGGACAGUUUCCAUGAGACUAGAGAGGAGGGCUACAGGCUUAGGAAGUCGGAUGUAAUGAUCUGAAGAAGAGAUCCCCGUUGGCUCCUGUAAAAAGCAACCACAGCAGCAAACAAAAGCCCCCACUCCCACCCCCUGAUCCCUCCGGGUGUGAUGUGAUGUGGUGUCAGUGUGUAGGUGUGUGUGUGCCGCUCUGCUCCUGUCUCCUGGGGUACCCCUUUCUCCUGUGUGUCAAGUCCCCCCUCUUUCGUGGCUCCCAAAGUGAAGAGUGCUGUGGUGUUUCUGCCCUGUCUUAGGGAUGUAUCAGGAUCUCUCGUGUUUCAGUAUUGGAGGUGAGGCCGUGCCACACCUCCCACUGUCCUAAGGGGACACGCCGGUUCUGUGACUUCCCAGACAGCUGGUGUAUGUGAAAGUCUCCAGGUUGCCAACAGCCCCGUCCUGAUGGAAGCAGGAGGCAGAGGGAACUGCUUUGUCCAGGAAGGCUGCCUAGAGGGGCUGUCGGCGAACCAGGACUCCUCCUUCUCUCCCUGCCUUGGCUUCUGUCCUGACCAGGUUCUGGGAGGAGGGGCCUUGGAGAGGUCAAGACCCAGAGCCAGCAUAACGCGGGCAUCAGGCAGUCUUGGGGACCCUGGACAUCCCAGUCCCUCUGUGGAGCCCUUGCACGUUCACAAAGACUGAGUCACAGGCCCCGUCCCUUCUUUGCUGUGGUUAGUAUCUCGUUCUGUGGUUGGUUAGCAGUGUUGAUGACCUAUGUAGCAAAUCUUUUUUGUGCACAAUUUAGAGAAUGUGUAAACAAAUAAAAGGCUUUAAAACUC